GUGGGGAAUCUUAGACAAUGGGCGCAAGCCUGAUCUAGCCAUGCCGCGUGAGCGAUGAAGGCCUUAGGGUUGUAAAGCUCUUUCGUGGGGGAAGAUAAUGACUGUACCCCAAGAAGAAGCCCCGGCUAACUCCGUGCCAGCAGCCGCGGUAAUACGGAGGGGGCUAGCGUUGUUCGGAAUUACUGGGCGUAAAGCGCACGUAGGCGGACUGGAAAGUCAGGGGUGAAAUCCCGGGGCUCAACCCCGGAACUGCCUUUGAAACUCCCAGUCUUGAGUUCGAGAGAGGUGAGUGGAAUUCCGAGUGUAGAGGUGAAAUUCAUAGAUAUUCGGAGGAACACCAGUGGCGAAGGCGGCUCACUGGCUCGAUACUGACGCUGUGGUGCGAAAGCGUGGGGAGCAAACAGGAUUAGAAACCCGAGUAGUCC
rnacentral:rRNA from 1 species